AUGCAUCACAAUUCAAACAUUGCUUGUCACUCAUCAAAUUCAUUCAUGAUCAUUACAAGAAUACUUCAUACAAAUAAUCCCAUUUCUAUCCUGAGUUCCAAGACAUGUUCAUCAAGACAAGUUCAUUCAGAUUCUUUACAGAGAGACAAAUUUAAUCAAAUUCCAUUCAAAUUCAUUCAAGGUCACAUACAAAGAUCCUGUCACAGGCUACACUACAACAAACCACAUUGA